GACGAACGCUGGCGGCGUGCUUAACACAUGCAAGUCGAACGGAAAGGCCCUGCUUUUGUGGGGUGCUCGAGUGGCGAACGGGUGAGUAACACGUGAGUAACCUGCCCUUGACUUUGGGAUAACUUCAGGAAACUGGGGCUAAUACCGGAUAGGAGCCCCUGCUGCAUGGUGGGGGUUGGAUAGUUUCGGCGGGUGGGGAUGGACUCGCGGCUUAUCAGCUUGUUGGUGGGGUAGUGGCUUACCAAGGCUUUGACGGGUAGCCGGCCUGGGUGGGUGACCGGCCACAUUGGGACUGCGGUACGGCCCAGACUCCUACGGGAGGCGGCAGUGGGGAAUAUUACACAGUGGGCGGAAGCCUGAUGAGGCAACGCCGCGUGCGGGAUGACGGCCUUCGGGUUGUAAACCGCUUUAGCCUGUGACGAAGCGUGAGUGACGGUAAUGGGUAAAGAAGCACCGGCUAACUACGUG
rnacentral:rRNA from 1 species